CCGUUCUUUAUAGUAUUAAAAAUGUUAAUAGCAUGUAAAAGCGGGCUAUUUCUAAAUAUAUUAGUUCUAAAAAGUUAUAAAAACAGUUUUUAUUCGCUUUAGUGUUUCUUUCCAUUACCUCAGAUUUUUUUGGAGGAGACAACAUUUGGGCUUAUUGCUUUGAAAUCCUUUACCAGCAGACAAUUUUUGAGUUAUUUGGAAGAAAACAAGACACAAAUUAUGGUGGUAAUAUUUCGACUCUAUUUCAGGGUCAUUGUCAAACCAAACAGUUUAGUCAAACGCCAGUCAAGUCGGUGUUUGAUAAGACAAAUUUGAAAAAGGUGACAAGUGAAAAAAAUUCGGCUAGAAAUAGGAGGCCCUUAUGUGAGAUAAAUGUUUUUAAUUCAGGGUAUUUUCAUUGACAAAUUUAAUCUUCUCAAUCUACAUUUGUACUACAUCUUCUAAUUCGUUUUAAUAUGCAGGUUUUGUGCAUCAUUAUGUCAGGCUGGUUAUGAGGCUACAUAUGAUCGCGUAUCCUCUGAAGAAUCGAACUGGUUCCUCACAAAGCCAAUGUAAAUUAUUAUUGUUAUAAAAUAAUAACAAAAAACUAUCAAAACAGUACAUGCAUAACUAUGGCUACCUAAACUACUUUCUUUUUUAAACUAGGAACCACCUGAUUUGUUUAAAUUGAUUUUGAGAGGUGGACAGUGGUAUUACAAACGA